GAUGAACGCUGGCGGCGUGCCUAAUACAUGCAAGUCUAGCGAACAGACGAGGAGCUUGCUCCUUCGACGUUAGCGGCGGACGGGUGAGUAACACGUGGAUAACCUACCUAUAAGACUGGGAUAACUUCGGGAAACCGGAGCUAAUACCGGAUAAUAUAUUGAACCGCAUGGUUCAAUAGUGAAAGAUGGCUUUGCUGUCACUUAUAGAUGGAUCUGCGCCGUAUUAGCUAGUUGGUAAGGUAACGGCUUACCAAGGCAACGAUACGUAGCCGACCUGAGAGGGUGAUAGGGCAACAUGGAAAUGAGAAACGGUCAAGAGUCCGAAGGGAGGCAGCAGUAGGGGAAGUUGCGCAAUGGGGGAAAGACUGAAGGAGAAAAGACGCGUGAGAGAUGAAAGUAUUAGGAUCGUAAAAAUCUGUUAUUAGGGAAGAAAAAAAGUGGAAAGAAAUGAGCACGGAUUGACGGUAACUAAUAAGAAAGCCAAGGCUAACUAAGGG
rnacentral:rRNA from 1 species